rnacentral:misc_RNA from 1 species
AAAGAUGGAACUUCAGAGAGCCAGACUGUGAAAGGUUGAUACAAAUACUUCCUUUUUGCAUUGACACGAGUUGUUUGCUUGCAUAUGGCUUCAACCUCUGCCCUGGUCAAGAAAAUAAUAAUUGAUAAUAGACUCUAUUGGAAACAGAGGGCUGAGAUCAUGAAAAUAGAAGGCUAUGGAGCAUAAAGUAGCCCAACAAUGAGUUUUAAGUAAGAUUAUGGUAUUUGUAUCGUAUCAGCAGUUGUCUUGCUCGAUAAUGGUGUCAGUUUGUGGCACCUUUAUUAACUUACCUACUGAUGUAUACAUGAUCUCUAAACUCUGAUUUGCACCAUCUUGGUUUUUACAGUAUUAUUUUUUUCUUCAUUUGUCUCUGUUGAAACUCUUGAAGCUGUAUUAGAUAACCUUGUAUAGAUAUAGAUGUAGAUACAUGUGUGUU